rnacentral:rRNA from 1 species
CCUACGGGUGGCUGCAGUGGGGAAUAUUGGGCAAUGGGCGCAAGCCUGACCCAGCAACGCCGCGUGAAGGAAGAAGGCUUUCGGGUUGGAAACUUCUUUUCUCAGGGACGAAGAAAGUGACGGUACCUGCGGAAUAAGCCACGGCUAACUACGUGCCAGCAGCCGCGGGAAUACGGAGGUGGCAAGCGUUAUCCGGAUUUACUGGGUGUAAGGGGCGUGUAGGCGGGACUGCAAGUCAGAUGUGAAAACCACGGGCUCAACCUGUGGCCUGCAUUUGAAACUGUAGUUCUUGAGUACUGGAGAGGCAGACGGAAUGCCUAGUGUAGCGGUGAAAUGCGUAGAUAUUAGGAGGAACACCAGUGGCGAAGGCGGUCUGCUGGACAGCAACUGACGCUGAGGCGCGAAAGCGUGGGGAGCAAACAGGAUUAGAUACCCUAGUAGUC